GGUAUUGUUUGCCCCACGAUAAGCCCCGGAAACUUAACGUGUUCAAACAAGCACAGA
rfam:Lactobacillus rhamnosus MTCC 5462 contig1823, whole genome shotgun sequence.